rnacentral:rRNA from 1 species
AUGUCGGCGGUCGUGCACACCAGCCGUCUCCGAUACAAGGAACUCGUUAAAGCGCUGGUGCAUGUCGCGCAGAAGUUGCUCCCGUGGGGUGCCGGCGUCAAUGCCAGAAACCUGCUCCUGAAUGCCCCAAUGCUGCUCCGGCUCAUGGAGAUGCGGUCACAGUCUGACCCAUCAGAACUGUUUCUUGAGAGCUUUGCUCCGGACAUCGCCGGCAUUGUGCAGGUGUACUCAUCUGUUGAUGAGGACGAGUCCAAGUACCUCCAGAUUGUUCCCCUGGAUGUUGAUGCUUUGGAUUUCGAGAAUUCUGGGAAAGAGGGCAAGGAAUCAGGGGAUUUGAAGAUCUCAGAGGAUUGCUUGUCAGAUGCUUACCAGAAUGUCUUAAAGAGGCUCUCUAAGCUAAAGGAACUUGGGAAGGUUGGGAAAGUUGCUAGCAGGAGGAAGCAGCGGAGGAUAGGGCUGGAGCUGGAACCAUGGAUGGAUUCGCUGGAUGAUGAUCGGACCAAGCGCAUGCCGCUUGAGGAGGUAGCAGAUAUUGACAUUGGCUAUGAUGCACCUCCUCCAUCGUUUACUGCUGGAUUGGAGCUGCAGAAGCGGAGGAGAGCACGAAUUGAAGAUGCUAAGUGUCGAAUCGCUGCAAUUAGGAAGGCUCCUGCUGCAGGCACUGCAAAUGCAAUUGAUUCACCGGCUGUUCAUGGAAAUGAAGAUGCUUGUCCACCACAAAAAAAUAGCAGGAAGAAGCUGGGUCGAAAGAGACGAGAUGGCAGGGAUCAUCAUAUCGUGUAUGGAGAUCAUCCAGCGGAGAUGUCAGACGCUCCUGACUCUGAGAAGAAGAAACGUAAAAGAGACCCAUGUGAUGGUAUUGACUGGGAAGAUUGCGUUAUCGAACUCCUUUUAUUACAUGGUGCAAAUGAGGCAGAGAUUGAACAAGGCCAAUACAGAAGACCGUUGGAGUUGCAUGUCUUCAGUGCAAUAAGUGGAGACAGAUAA